UACGUAGGGUGCAAGCGUUAAUCGGAAUUACUGGGCGUAAAGCGUGCGCAGGCGGUGAUGUAAGACAGGUGUGAAAUCCCCGGGCUUAACCUGGGAACUGCAUUUGUGACUGCAUCGCUGGAGUGCGGCAGAGGGGGAUGGAAUUCCGCGUGUAGCAGUGAAAUGCGUAGAUAUGCGGAGGAACACCGAUGGCGAAGGCAAUCCCCUGGGCCUGCACUGACGCUCAUGCACGAAAGCGUGGGGAGCGAAACAAGGAUUGAGAAACCCCGGUAACGGUCCAGACC
rnacentral:rRNA from 1 species